CAGCCACAAUAAGGGUGUCCAUGGAUUCCU
rnacentral:piRNA from 1 species